rnacentral:rRNA from 1 species
UGGGGAAUAUUGCACAAUGGAGGGAACUCUGAUGCAGCGACGCCGCGUGAACGAAGAAGGCUUUCGAGUCGUAAAGUUCUUUUAUAUGGGAAGAUAAUGACGGUACCAUAAGAAAAAGCCCCGGCUAACUACGUGCCAUCAGCCGCGGUAAUACGUAGGGGGCUAGCGUUGUCCGGAAUCACUGGGCGUAAAGGGUUCGCAGGCGGAAAUGCAAGUCAGGUGUAAAAGGCAGUAGCUUAACUACUGUAAGCAUUUGAAACUGCAUAUCUUGAGAAGAGUAGAGGUAAGUGGAAUUUUUAGUGUAGCGGUGAAAUGCGUAGAUAUUAAAAAGAAUACCGGUGGCGAAGGCGGCUUACUGGGCUCAUUCUGACGCUGAGGAACGAAAGCGUGGGUAGCAAACAGG